GGGAUCCUCCUCCCAUCAUCACUGGUGAGUCCCCAAGGGUGCAUCACUGGGUGAAUGGUGGAGGUGAUCUAAAGGCCGGGGGGCCUGCUUGGCCCCCCGGCUAGGUAGGGUAGGGAGCUGCUCAUUACUUGAACAUCAACUCACUGGCACUGGCUGGGGCUCCUCACUUAGGCUGAGCUCUUCUGUGUUUGCUUGCAAGGAGACACAGAGAUGAGAGCACCAUGGAUGCCAUAGUCUCCCUACAGGUGGCUGUGGCUGUCCUUGGGAAGAAGAGAGGUAUUGCUUCACCAGAAGAACUCAGAGCACCGCACUGGUAAAACCAUUCCAGCAGUACAAACUUGGGGAAGAUGAACCUCUCCUAACUUAAAUGAACUCUGUGUAGGUUGGAAAACCUCUUUUCAACACUGCCAAAUCUUUGAGGUGGAAAUGUGCCUGUUGUGAGGGAAUGAUUGAAGUGUGAAAGCCACCUAUCUGUGAGAAGCCUGUAACAGAUACCCACCUGCACGGAUCAGUGGGACUGUGUAACACCAGCUACUGCUGCAUGCUGAUCUCUUUUUAGAGCCUCUUUUCCUCCAGUCCCAGUGUCAGUCUACAGCUAAUGCUGUAGCACCAUGGAGUUGUCUAUCAAAUACCAUCUCACAAGGCCAUCCUGAUAAUGUAAAGGCCCAUAGGAUGUAGAACUGGAGCAGCCAGCUUUGCUGAUGGGCUGAAGCAGGUACCCUCAUGCUUCAACUGUUGCAAGCACUGUGUAUGUGUAAAAUGCAAGGCACAUUAUGCUGGCUGUUUGGAGAGUCUGACAAUGUGACUGGUUCAAUGUCCUUUAACUUCUGAAUGGUGAAUGAUCUAUAAAUAUUUUAACACUCCUGC